GCCAGACUUCAGCGCAGCUGGACUCCCUCAGGGACUCUGGCCCCGCGGUAGGAAGAGGAGGAAGACGCGCGCCGCCGUUGCCGCCGCACCGCACGUAAAGCUACUCGCUCACGCGCCGCCGGAAUGCGGUCUUUGCGACAGUCUGUUUCGCUGACGAUGUGCGACUUUUGCCCAGCUUCGUCUCGGGUGGAGGCUCUUCUUGCCGGCUGGAUUAGCUGUCAUCUGUAUUAUCUCCAUUCUGGAUGACUGCUGCUGCUGCUGUCACUCCAGUCGUGUCCGACCCUUAGCGACCCCAUGGACUGCAGCCUACCAGGCUCCUCCGUCCAUGGGAUUUUCCAGGCAAGAGUACUGGAGUGGGGUGCCAUUGCCUUCUCCGAUUCUGGAUGACUGCCGAGCAUCACAAGCAACUCAGGGCUGGUUGGAGGGCCAGGGCAUGACUCCAGCCUCUAUGACCGUCUCCAAGUUCCAAAGGGUGGAAGAAGUGAAAGUCGCUCAAUCAUGUCUGACUCUUUGUGACCCUAUGGACUGUAGUCCAUUGCAGGCAGAUUCUUUACCAUCUGGGCCACCAGAGAAGCCUAAAUUUAAGUCGCUUGUUCU